rnacentral:rRNA from 1 species
UACGUAGGAGACGAGCGUUGUCCGGAAUUACUGGGCGUAAAGCGCGUGUAGGCGGAUGAGCAAGUCUGCUGUGAAAGCUCCUGGCUUAACCGGGAGUGGUCGGUGGAAACUGCUCGUCUGGAGGACGGUAGAGGUAGGUAGAAUUCCCGGUGUAGUGGUGAAAUGCGUAGAGAUCGGGAGGAAUACCUGUGGGCGAAGGCGGCCUACUGGGCCGGACCUGACGCUGAGACGCGAAGGCGUGGGGAGCGAACGGG